UUCUUUCAGCUUGAAAGUGUAACAAUGACGUAACAGCUUCUUAGAUCAUUAACUCCAUUUCAAAGGAAAUUGCCACCAACCUAGUCUAUAAUGGAAGUGUAAAAGAAAUAUGGGAUGAGUUAAAGAAGAGAUACUGACAGUCUAAUGGGCCUCACAUAUACCAGCUGCGAAAAGAUUUGGUAACCACCACUCAAGGCAGUCUCUCAGUUGAAACAUAAAAUGCAAAGGUUACCACCAUAUGGCAAGAACUUGUUUAAUAUAGGCCUAUGGAUGAAUGUACCUGUGAAGGGUCAAAGAAGAUGAUCGUUUUUUUAAAUGCUGAGUUUGAGAUGAUUUUCCUUAUGGGAUUGAAUGAGUCCUACUCCCAAUUCCGAGCACAAAUCUUGCUUAUUGAUCCCUUGCCACUAAUAAAUAAAGUAUUCUCUCUUAUCAUCCAAGAAGAAAGACAGAGAUCCAUUGGAUCUUCCCCUUCCAUUGAAAGAAUUACGUUGAUGGCUAAUACUAAGAAUAGAUUCUCUUUCGAAAGGUCCAAGAAGAAAAACACACAGCCGAUAUGUUCUAAUUGUGGUUGCAGAGGCCACAUUGCUGACAAGUGCUAUAAGCUACAUGGAUACCCACCAGGACACAGAUUGGCAAAUAAUAAUUCAGUGCAUCAACAAGGUAGAAUAAUUCUGUCCAAAUCGAAAGUGAGAAGAUAACAGAAGCUCCUAAAGGGAAUCCGUCUGCAUUCUUUGCAAGCCUUAACAAUGAUCAAUAUUCACAACUCUUAAAUAUGCUCCAAAGUUCCAAACACGCCUCAACACUUACCAAAAUGGUGAUAGUUCCAAAACAGAAACCACUCAUAUAGCAGCACUCAAAAUAUGUCAGUUAUAUUGCCCAUUAAAACUCGCUUAAAGGUUGAGUACACAUAGGAGACAUCUCCAGAGCAAAGCAAGUGAUACUGAAAGAUGUCCUUUAUAUUCCUGACUUCAAAUACAAUCUGCUAUCAGUGAGUGUCCUUCUCAAGGAUAAAAGAUAUUCUGUAUCCUCUCUAACUCUGAUUGUAUUAUUCAGAACAAUUCACUUUUGAAAAUGAUUGGGAAGGUUGAACUAACCCGUGGACUCUACUUACUCAAAAUAAAAGUAGAAAAGAGCAAAGACUACCCCAUCCAACAUACUGCACUGAUCUGUAAAGCCUCAACAUCCACAUGGCACAACCACAUGGGACAUCCUUUUGUCAGUAGAAUAAAAGAACUAUAAAAAUUGAUAGAAAUUUCUGAUUCUUUAAACUGUAAAGAAGUCUGUCAUAUAUGUUCCUUAGCUAAACAGAGGCGUCUUUCUUUUCUUGCUUUGAACAAUAUUGAUGAACAUACUUUUGAUCUUGUGCGCUGUGAUGUAUGGGAUCCAUUUAAAACGCAAACACAUGCUGGUCAUUCUUAUUUUGCCACCAUUGUUGAUGAUAAGUCAAGUUAUACAUGGAUUUAUCUUUUGAGAAAUAAAAAUGAAAUUCUAUAAGUCAUCCUUUGUUUCUUCAAGCUUAUUGAGAACCAAUUCUCAAAGAUGAUCAAAGCAUUUCGUUCUGAUAAUGCUCUUGAGUUAAAUUUCAGAGACUUCUUUGCUAAAACUGGAACCAUCCACCAGUUCUCAUGUGCCUAUACUCUUCGACAAAACUUGGUUGUUGAAAGAAAACAUCGGCACCUUCUCAAUGUAGCAAGAGCCUUGAUGUUCCAGUCCAAUGUUCCCCUUACCUUCUGGGGAGAAUGUAUCUUGAGUGCAGCCUGCUUGAUCAACAGGACACCCAUGGUCCUGCUUUCAAAUAGCACCCCUUUCGCCACUUUGUUUAACAAAGAUGCAGACUACAACAUUAUAAAAACUUUUGGUUGCCUCGCUUACGCCUCUACACCAACAAACAGAUCCAAAUUUGAUCCAAGAGCACAAGCUUGUAUCUUCAUGGGAUUCCCACCAGGCUACAAAUUGUAUGACAUAACUAAGAAGAACUUUUUUUCCAGGGAUGUCUUAUUCUUGAAGAACUGUUUCCAUUUCAUUCUAUCAAAGAAGAUGACAACUCUCAUUGAACAAUUUGUCAUACCAUGCCCUUUAUUUGAUUGCUAGCAAAGGCAUCAUCACACAACACACUGCUGGAAAUCCUAUCACUCACACAUCAGAAAAUACUUAUGAAGACAACCACGGUGAUGAUGUUCUAAAUACCCACAUUGAAACCUCAUAAGAAACCAACAACCCUACCCAAGAAACCAUAUCCAUGGCACCAAGAAGGCCAUCACGACCACAUUAUCCACCUUCCUACCUAAAAGACUUCCAUUGCAACCUCACUUCCCAAAGGAAAUCAGCCCUUUAUUUGAUUGCUAGCAAAGGCAUCAUCACACAACACACUGCUGGAAAUCCUAUCACUCACACAUCAGAAAAUACUUAUGAAGACAACCACGGUGAUGAUGUUCUAAAUACCCACAUUGAAACCUCAUAAGAAACCAACAACCCUACCCAAGAAACCAUAUCCAUGGCACCAAGAAGGCCAUCACGACCACAUUAUCCACCUUCCUACCUAAAAGACUUCCAUUGCAACCUCACUUCCCAAAGGAAAUCAGCCUUUUCCCUCACCAAAUACCUCUCAUAUACUGCAUAUACCCAGAACCACAAAAAUUACCUACCAAAUGUUGCCUCCACUUAUGAACCUUCCUACUAUCACCAAGCUGUAAAACACUGAAUUGGAGAAAAGCUAUGGCAGAAGAAAUGGACAUAAAUAAUGGAAGAGAAAUUGUCACUGUCAUCUAGCCCUUGCUACAUUCUACAAUUGGUCCCUUACUCAAAUGGACAUAAAUAAUGCCUUCUUAAAUGGAGAUUUGUUUGAAGAAGUGCACAUGUCCUUACCAUUGGGCUAUCAAACCUCACAGGGGCUAGGUAAAGGAGAAAAGCUAGCCUGCAAACUUAUCAACUCCAUAUAUGGCCUUAAGCAAGUUUCAAGACAGUGGUUCCUAAAGUUUGCAGCAACUCUAUCCUCACAUGGUUUUCACCAAUCAAAGUUUGAUUAGUCUCUGUUUACCUGAGGUAAUGGAAGCAACUUUGUAGCGUUGUUAGUAUAUGUAGAUUACAAAUUACUAACUGGACCAUCUCCCCAAAUCAACUCAGUGAAAGACAUCCUCAAGGGACACUUCAAACUCAAUGAAGAUUUGGGACAAGCAAAAUAUUUUCUGGGCUUAGAGUUAUCACGGUCCCAACAGGGACUCAUGCUCUCCCAAAGAAAAUACUGCCUUCAGAUACUUGAAGACAUUGGUUUUCUUGAUGCCAAACCAGCUAAAGCACCCAUGGAUCCUUAUUUGAAACUAUCAAAAAAUGAAGGAAAACCCCUUGAUGAAGAAGACAUCACCUGCUAUAGAAGACUACUUGGAAGGCUAAUAUAUCUUCAGAUAUCCAGUCCAGACAUUUGCUUUGCUGUUCACUGCCACAACUAGUUCAUCCAAAGUCCUACAAAGAUCCACUUAGAUGCUGCUCAUCACUUAUUAAAAUACCUAAAAAGUUCUCCGGUGACAAGGUAUUCUAAUAAGACCUAUCACUUCCUUUCACCUAAAGGCCUUUGUGGAUGUUGAUUGGGGAUCAAGGGGGAUCAUGUCUUGACACUAGAAGAUCUAUAACUGGGUUAUGCAUCUUCAUAGGAGAUUCCAUAAUCUCUUGGAAAUCCAAAAAGCAAGCAACUGUCUCCCGAUCUUCGGCAGAAGCCGAGUACAGGGCCUUAGCAUCAGUGAUAUGGAUCACACAGCUUAUUACUGACCUUCAUGUGAAAGUCUUAAUGCCAACAACAGUGUUAUGUGACAAUCAAGCAACAACUGCAAUUGCUUCUAAUCCAACGUUUCAUGAAAGAACGAAGCAUAUAGAAAUUGAUUGCCACUUCGUCCGAGACAAGAUAGUUGAUGGAUUUCUUAAAGUCCUACCUGUCAAAUUCAGCCUACAACUAGCAGAUAUGUUCACUAAAGCACUACCUGCAUCUACCUUAUCUAGACUAAUAUCCAAGCUGGGAAUCAUUGACAUUCAUCGUCCAACUUGAGGGGGAGUAUUAACAAUGAAACUGUCAGUUUGUUACAAACUGUUAUGUAGUUUACCAGUUAAUUAGUGAGAUAGAAGUUACCAAGUUCCUCUAUAUAAAGAACUUGGGUUCUGUAAAUAAAUUAUAAGAGAAUAAAUGAAAUUCUUUUGUACAA